CAAACCAAACCAAUCAAAACUGGCCUACUAUGUUAAUGGAAUAAAUAACUUAAUGCAGAAAUCUCAAAUUCUAAUUGAUGAAUAUGUGCAGUGUUAUAAGAAAUACAUAAACUAUAUAAUACUGACACCUCUUCCAGAUUUUUUGUAUCAAAUGUGUGGCAUGUACAGAUUUUAAUUACACAGAAAGCACUUAACAAGAAAUGUAUAAUAUAUGUCUUACAACACACACUAUAACUUUUGUAAGACUUUAAGGCGGACAAUUAUUUGUAAAUUAAAAUAAAUUGAUAUCCUGAGAUAACACAUCAAGUGAUUCUGUUUGGACAGCAAUUAAGUGCAUGAAUGUGCUCCUUUUCCUGGAAUAUCCUAUUUAUGGGUUGUUCGUCAAGCAUUUCGGCUGGGUUCAAGGGGAAAUCACUCCCUUUCUCCCCAGACAUAGAGACUGAAACAACAACAGAAGAGGCAAAGCUUCUAAUGCAGAAAGUCUCCUGUGAGAAUGGUCAGAGCAAUGGGUUCCAUAGCAUGCACAUUAACCACACACAGAUUGUGAUAAUUUCUAAAGAUGUUGAGAAAGAAGCACAACAAAAUGACUCCGAAAAUACAGAGGUUUCAAUGCAUAAUAAUAGUGAACACCAUAAAAAAGUUUUGGAAACUGACUCCAGAAUUGAGAUUCCCAGCAUUGGAAGUAGAACAAACAGCGAUACUUCUUUACAACGAAGAACUCUCAGUCCUCGGGCAUUACGUAGCCAGAGUUUGCCGGGGACCAUUAAAGGUGUUUUAAAAACUGGACGGACUGAUAUGCGAGACCAAAUGAUCGCCAGCCGACCAAUCAAAACUGUGACAUUUGUGGACUCUGUUACUGUGCUAACAGUGCACUAGUUUCUUGUUAAUAGUGAAACAUGUAUUUAUUUUUAUUCUAUAAAUAAAGCAAAACGUUAUAAAAAACACAA